rnacentral:rRNA from 1 species
AUUGAACGCUGGCGGCAUGCCUUACACAUGCAAGUCGAACGGUAACAGGUCUUCGGAUGCUGACGAGUGGCGAACGGGUGAGUAAUACAUCGGAACGUGCCCAGACGUGGGGGAUAACGAGGCGAAAGCUUUGCUAAUACCGCAUACGAUCUAAGGAUGAAAGCAGGGGACCGCAAGGCCUUGUGCGUUUGGAGCGGCCGAUGGCAGAUUAGGUAGUUGGUGGGAUAAAAGCUUACCAAGCCGACGAUCUGUAGCUGGUCUGAGAGGACGACCAGCCACACUGGGACUGAGACACGGCCCAGACUCCUACGGGAGGCAGCAGUGGGGAAUUUUGGGCAAUGGGCGAAAGCCUGAUCCAGCAAUGCCGCGUGCAGGAUGAAGGCCUUCGGGUUGUAAACUGCUUUUGUACGGAACGAAAAGGCUCUGGCUAAUACCUGGGGCACAUGACGGUACCGUAAGAAUAAGCACCGGCUAACUACGUG